rnacentral:snoRNA from 1 species
AACCCAUGGUGAGGACAUCUUCUUAAAAAAUCCUUGUACCUCUCCCAAGCCUCAUAUAGUGACUUAGAAUCAAAUUGCAUGAAAGAAGUGAUAUCAUUCCGCAUCUU